GUCAAUCCAAGGCAAUCUUCCUCAAGCGACUGAAUGAACAGAUUCAGAAUGAACUCCAAAGGACUGCAAAAACCAUUUAAAACCACAUGAAUAUGAAGUGAAGUGGCAUAACGCAAAAUGCACAAUUUAUAGAUGCGUUAAUGUAUGCCCAGUAGCAAUUAGCAAAGGACACGUAGCAUUAUCAUAGUGCGAGAAUGUAAUUACGAUAAUCAGUGAGGGAUGGGUUGUAACGGGAAAUGUACAAAAUCCUUCCUUAUAAAACGCUCUCCUCUUUAUACUUCCACAAGAAUCCAAACAUUUCUAAAACAAAAACAAGAAAACACCUCUCCUCCAUAUUUUACUGAAAAGAGAUUUAAUUGACAAGUGUUUGUUAUCGGGGAAAAGAAUGAGCAGUUGUGCAAGCCGCACUUUGUACGUAGGGAAUCUUCCUGGAGAUAUUCGAUGGAGAGAAGUAAAAGAUUUGUUUUACAAGUAUGGACUCAUUGUUAGGGUGGAUCUAAGGAAUCCACCAAGAACCCCAGGUUAUGCUUUUGUUCAGUUUGAAGAUGCUUGUAAUGCUGAAGAGGCCAUCCGUGGUCGUGAUGGGUAUAACUUUAAUGGAUGUCGUUUACGAGUAGAGCUUGCUUAUGGUGGUCGAAAACAUUCAACUCCAGGCCAUGGUGGUCGAAAACAUUCAUUUCCAGGGCGUCAUUAUAAUACUUGCAGUGGUAUUAGUGAAAACCAUGGUCCUUCCAAGCACUCUGAUCAUCGUGUUCUGGUCACUGGAUUACCUUCAUCUGCUUCAUGGCAAGAUCUCAAGGAUCAUAUGCGACAAGCUGGGGAUGUCUGUUUUUCUCGAGUCUUUCCUGGUCGUGGUGGUAAGACAGGAAUUGUAGAUUAUAAAAACUAUGAUGAUAUGAAACAUGCUAUCAAGAAACUUGAUGACUCUGAGUUUCGCAAUGCAUUUUCUCGGUCUUAUGUGCGGGUGAGGAAGGAUGAUUCGAGAAGAAGCUACUCCCAAAGUCCUAGUCACGGCACACGUGACCGGAGCAAGAGCAGGAGCAGGAGCAGGAGCGGGAGUCAAAGUCGGAGCCGUAGUCGCAGUCGUAACUGCAGUGAGAGGAGCAGGAGCAAGUCUCCAGGGGCUAAAUAUUCUCAUCGCUCUCUCUCUGUAUCUCCUGGUAGAUCUGUUUCUCCACACUCUCAUGCUGGAUUGUCUCCGAGAUCUUCAAGACCUGGCCAAGGGCGCCUGAAACGGCAGUUCACAGUUUGCUUAAAGGAUGAACCAUGAACCAGCCCAUUCAUAGAUGGUCUAGAUCAUUAUUCAGGGGCACAUGAGUUCAUGAGGGUUGGCAAGGUGUCAUGCUUUGUUUGUAAGGGUUCCUUGUUUUGCUUAGUAGAUCUGGCUUUGUGCAGCAACCUGGGGAUUGGAUGUUAAGAACUUGAUGCAAUGGUGUGCUUAUAUACCUGCGUCUCUUUGGAGGUUUGAGGUAAUGCAUUUUUAUUGGUGAGCAGCUGAGUACCUCCUGAUCAUCUUAUAAUGCUGUUAUCCUGGUGUGUAGUUCAGUGCUAGACUUCAUCCAGUGUGGAUGGGUCACAACCCGAAAGCUGGAUUACUCUGAACUAAGUGCUAUUGGUACCAUCCCACAGAUCAGCUAUAUUUACAAAAAUUGAAACUACUUCAGCAUCUAUCCCUUCCUGUACUUGGGGAAACUGAUAGGGACAGUGUAGUUCUCUUAUCUGGUAUGGAUGGGGAGGAUAUCCCAAACUUUGGCAACUCGUGUCAUGGUGCUAUAGUGAUUUUUCUUUCCUCAUGUUGAUCUAGUUUCACGAACUUCUAGGAAAAGCCCAUUACCAAAGUGUUGAGGUCGUUUAUUAUCUUGCAGUGGUUUUUUUAUUCUCUUUUUACAAUUUUCUUCUAAAGACUGGCGGUAUUUCUUGAUUCUUUUGGUUGCUGGUCACUAUGAGGUGGAAGUGGCAAUGAAGCUUUUGGAUCAAGGAUUAUAAUGGAUUCUUAUGGAUAAUUGAGUUGUUUCUGGAAAUUUUUGCAGAUACCGAUCAAGAUCAAGAUCCCCACUAGCAUCUCCUUCUAGCAAACAACAAGCAGGUAGAAGAGCAACCAGACAAGGCAGAAGCAAAAGCAGCAGUGGAUCUCAAUCCCGAUCACCUGCUGUAUGAUUUCUCUCAGCAUCAAAAGAUGAUUGUUCUUGAUUAUUUGAUACCAUAUGUUGUCUUCUCAGGAUGUAGAUUGGCUCUGAUCAUGGCUGCAAUUGGCAGGUUAGAUCUGAUCAAAGCCGAGCAAUGGACUCUGCAGAUUCUAGAGAUCGUUGUUGAAGAUAUUGCCUGCCCUAGUUGUAAAUUGAUGUUAGUCAACUGCGAGAAACCUUUAACGAACUGGAAAUAGCUUAAAUAUACCUUACAUUCUGGACAAUUGUUUGAUCAACUGUGUAGUCAGGUUUUAUGCCGAGAUAGUCAUUUAGGCUUACGGUGGAGAGGCGAUUCAUCAAAAUAUAAGUACUUCUCAGUCUAUGUGCUUACCUAUAAGUACUUCUCAGUCUAUGUGCUUACCUACAUUUAUAUGUCAAAUUCUCCCAGCUUUUUGCA